AUUUUCCGCUUUUUUACACCUCAUUUAUUUAAAUACCCCAGCCGCCCAGCACAGCCACCCAAAUUGCUCUCUCUCUCUCGCCCCUCUUUCUUCUCUCUCUCGCCCCUCUUGAAGGGGAAAAAAGAAAAAAAAUUCUCAUCCCACCACAGAAGCAAAGGAGAGGAACAAGAAACCAGAAGCAGCAUCAGUGCGGCAGAGGAGAUCA
rnacentral:lncRNA from 1 species